UGGCAGGCUAGAUCGGAGGGUUAGCCGUCCUCUGUAACCAUCAACCGGCUUUAGGUGGGAUUGAAGCCUGAGGAGAGGUAUGAUCUGUGGGCAGUGGUCCUGACUUGGACUGUGAUAUUCUGUCCUGUAGGAUUGAUACUUUAGGGAAUCGUGUCAGGCGGGGAACCGAGCAGCACUAACUUCUGGUAUUGAUGCUUGUAGGGUAGCGGAAUUGAGGAAAAGCUGGGGUUAACCAUUGUUCAUGUUUCAUAUCCAUCUUUGGGCGCGCCUGCCA
rnacentral:SRP_RNA from 1 species